rnacentral:lncRNA from 1 species
UUUUUAAUGAAUGUCUUUCUUCUGUGGAUACUGUCUAUAUUUCAUUAGAAUCAGCUUUAGUUUGUAAUUAGUUUGAAGAUAAAAUUUGUGUGUAUGCUUGUGAUAACGUGUAUACUAGUCAUGACUGCAAACUAUUUAAUCUUUUUAUAGUCUUGUAAAAUUGUACAUAGCAGAGCCUGUCUUACUGCCAGUGACAUUUUAGCAGAUAGAAUAUUUCGAUUAUUGGAGGAGUUUGAAGCAAUCCUUGACACAUUCUUGCAGAUAGAUUUAAAAAUCUCAAUAAAAUGUUUUAAUAUAAAAUACAUGAUUACCUGUUUCAUAUUUUAUUCUUGAAAAUUGUGCAAACAAACAAAAAAUGUUUUAAAGUUUGCUUAUGCAUAUACUAUUAUAGUGUAUUUACUUGAUGGUAUCGGGAUAUGGUUAUUCAGUAAAAAGAAUUCCAAAAUCCCAAGAAAAUGUUUUAAUAUAAAUACAUGAUUAUUGGUUUGACAUUUUAUUCUGGUAAAACUAUACAAACUUUCAAAAAUGCUUUCAAGUCUGUUAAUGCAUAUAAAUUAUGUUUUCUUUAAUUAAUGAAUUGAAAAAGAGGCUUCAAAGUAAGUUUUGCGGUUCAAGGCAGGUUCCAUUACAUAUAAUUAACAUUCAUAAUCAUGUCAUAUAGCUGUAUUUUAUUCCAGUAGAAAGAAUUUUGUUAAUAACCAUUAAUUUAUGAUCAUGAUGGCAAAUAAUAAAAGUGAUACAUUUUUGUUGUAUUUGUGUCUUAUCUGCAGUUUUUGGGUUGAUGUACAGUCAAACAUAUUUAGUUGAUUUAGAACUUGAUGGGGCAUGUUUAUCAGGGAAAUUCAACCUACAAAAACACUCCAUUGUACAUUUGAAUGCAUUGCACAGGGUGGUAAUGCUUAUAUAAACAUAGCUAAGAUUCAACUGUUCCUUCCAAG